rnacentral:rRNA from 1 species
CCUACGGGAUGCAGCAGUGAGGAAUAUUGGUCAAUGGCCGGAAGGCUGAACCAGCCAAGCCGCGUGAAGGACGAAGGUGCCAAGCAUUGUAAACUUCUUUUGUCAAGGGACAAAAUCAGGCUCGAGAGCCUGACCGAGGGUACUUGAAGAAAAAGCAUCGGCUAACUCCGUGCCAGCCGCCGCGGUAAUACGGAGGAUGCGAGCGUUAUCCGGAUUUAUUGGGUUUAAAGGGUGCGUAGGCGGGCGGUUAAGUCAGCGGUAAGAGCACGGGGCUCAACCCCGGCGAGCCGUUGAAACUGGGUGUCUUGAGAGGGCGAGAGGUAUGCGGAAUGCGCGGUGUAGCGGUGAAAUGCAUAGAUAUCGCGCAGAACUCCGAUUGCGAAGGCAGCAUACCGGCGGCGAACUGACGCUGAGGCACGAAAGCGUGGGUAUCGAACAGGAUUAGAUACCCGAGUAGUC